GACGAACGCUGGCGGCGUGCUUAACACAUGCAAGUCGAACGCUGAAGCUCAGCUUUUGUUGGGUGGAUGAGUGGCGAACGGGUGAGUAACACGUGAGUAACCUGCCCCCUUCUUUGGGAUAACGCCCGGAAACGGGUGCUAAUACUGGAUAUUCACUGGUCUUCGCAUGGGGGUUGGUGGAAAGGGUUUUUCUGGUGGGGGAUGGGCUCGCGGCCUAUCAGCUUGUUGGUGGGGUGAUGGCCUACCAAGGCUUUGACGGGUAGCCGGCCUGAGAGGGUGACCGGUCACAUUGGGACUGAGAUACGGCCCAGACUCCUACGGGAGGCAGCAGUGGGGAAUAUUGCACAAUGGGCGCAAGCCUGAUGCAGCGCCGCCGCGUGAGGGAUGGAGGCCUUCGGGUUGUGAACCUCUUUCGCUCAUGGUCAAGCCGCAACAAUGGUUGUGGUGAGGGUAGUGGGUAAAGAAGCGCCGGCUAGCUACGUG
rnacentral:rRNA from 1 species